rnacentral:lncRNA from 1 species
GAUUUUGGAGGUGCCACAGUUGGGAAUCUGAAGCUCCAAGGAUGGGGAUGAGAGAGAGCAGUUGUUGUAAAAGAAAAAGAAUCUCAGGAAAGACUGAGUGUCUACUGUGUGCUCUCUGAGGCCAGUUGUUGAAGAAGGGUGACAGCAAAUGAAGGCAGGAGAGAGACCUGCCCCUAAAUUUGAAACGAUGGACAACUUGACCCUGAAAAAGCCUUGCUGUAAUUGAAAAUCCUGUUUGCUGUCCAAAGGGUGAGUGGUUUGUAACUAAUGAAACACCACCAAGAGUAGAAGCAACUUAUAUACCAAGAACAUUUGGAUUUGUAGAAGUUUUCGACACAUAGACUUCACUACAGUGCAAAUUUAUAACCCAAGCGAAGCAAGAAACUGAAUUACUUAUUUGUCUAGGCAAGUCAAAUCAACAAUUUAAUUCUAAAAACCAGUAAUUUGGAGCUGAUGUGUUCACACAAGAUCCUAUGUAUGUAGAUGUGUUACAUUCUCUGCAUGGAACCUACUUAUAUAAAUUAGGCUGCAUAGAUUA